AUUGAACGCUAGCGGGAUGCUUUACACAUGCAAGUCGAACGAGUGGCGGACGGGUGAGUAAUAUAUCGGAACGUGCCCAGUAGCGGGGGAUAACUACUCGUAAGAGUGGCUAAUACCGCAUACUAUUGGAGCGCCCGAUAUCGGAUUAGCGAGUUGGUGGGGUAAAGGCUCACAAGGGCAACGAUCCGUAGCUGGUUUGCGAGGACGAUCAUCCCAGCGGAGACUGCGCAACGCCCCCGCCUCCUACGGAGGGCGGCAGUGGUGAAGUUUAGACAAUGGGGGAAUCCCUGAGCCAGCAGUCCCGCGUGUAUUGGAAGGCCUUCGGGUUGUAAAGUACUUUUGGCGGAGAAGCGGUAUCUGCAGAAUAAGCACCGGCUAACUACGUGCCAGCCGCCGCGGUAAUAC
rnacentral:rRNA from 1 species